GUGGGGAAUAUUGCACAAUGGGCGCAAGCCUGAUGCAGCGACGCCGCGUGAGGGAUGACGGCCUUCGGGUUGUAAACCUCUUUCAGCAGGGAAGAAGCUUUCGGGUGACGGUACCUGCAGAAGAAGCACCGGCUAACUACGUGCCAGCAGCCGCGGUAAUACGUAGGGUGCGAGCGUUGUCCGGAAUUAUUGGGCGUAAAGAGCUUGUAGGCGGUUUGUCGCGUCUGCUGUGAAAAUCCGGGGCUCAACCCCGGACUUGCAGUGGGUACGGGCAGACUGGAGUGUGGUAGGGGAGACUGGAAUUCCUGGUGUAGCGGUGGAAUGCGCAGAUAUCAGGAGGAACACCGAUGGCGAAGGCAGGUCUCUGGGCCACUACUGACGCUGAGAAGCGAAAGCAUGGGGAGCGAACAGGAUUAGAUACCCUUGUAGUCC
rnacentral:rRNA from 1 species